rnacentral:lncRNA from 1 species
CUCGUGGUCCAUGCCUCAGCAUUUCUUGGGGUCACCCUCGAACCCUCAAUCCAUUGUUAUUCUGCCAUCUUUCUUUGUCAUGUGACCAGAGCACUAGCUCUAUGCUAAGUGGUGCAUAAUCCUUUCCCUCUUGCACAUGGACCUCAACGAGCUCCUCACACACACUCCCGAGAGCCUUUUGCAAGCUUUCUCCUUUGCUAUACACAGCACCAUACUCCAACUGGCAGGUGUUUUUGUCCAAACACUGAGAAGCAGCAGGAGAGAGCAGAGCAUCUAACUGUCUCCUAGCAGUUUUAUUAUUCAAUCUGGUGAACAGUGGAUUUAGUUGUCUCUUUUGUCUUAUUCUAAACAUACCCAAAGACACCUCAUCUGCUGAUCUUUCUAAGAAGGCCUUGGAGCUGGUGGAAGUCCACCCAAUACACUUGUCCCACUGAAGACUAAUUUGAAAUGCUAGGCUGUGCCCCUGUGCAUGUGGAUUAGGAAGGUGGCUGGCAUGAUCUGUGUUGAUGGUCCCCAAGUCCCAUUAUGAAGUCUUCCGACUCAAGUUACUCUAAAAUCUACUUUUAAAUCUGGAGGGCACUAUGAGGAGUUUCCACUAAUCCAGCAGUACUGGGCUCUUCCCAUGGUUGUGAAGGCUCACAGGGUGCAUUUUAUAUCUGGGUCUAGUUGGUUGUUGGUUACCGUGUGGAUGGGGCAGUGUUCCCUGAUUGGAUCAUUUCAUUUUGCUUGGGUCUGUGGCCACGGGCUGAGAUCCCAUUUACAACCAACCAUCUCCCAAUUUCAUGCUGUUAAUUAAAAAAAAAAAAAAUACUUGGGUGUUCACACCCAUUGCCUCCAUAAGAUAAAGGUCUCAAAGUGAAUAUUCUACAGGCAGUUCCUCAGCAGUACCAAUGUCACAUGCAGCAGACAACACAUUUUCCAGCGUUCACUAAAAAAUAUGCAUGCUGAGACUUAAUGCCAAGAGUAGGUAGACUGAGGACUUAUCUCCUUUCAGACACUCACUCCCUCCAUGUGGCUGCCACUCUGUCCCUCCUUACUCCCUCCCAAACUCCAUUUUCAAGGCAGCUAUGAUAUAGUAGUAGGCACCUCAAAAGUCCAUGGGCAUUGAUCAUCCUUAGUGUCCUUGUCUGGGCACAAAAAUCAGAUGUAGUCAUUCUUGAGGUGACUUUUAAACUGGAGUGUCAGGAAACAAAAUCCUCCUAUCUGCUUACAGUUGGAAAUUUCCAAUUCCUUUUCAGCUGGCCUCCUAAAUCCACAGUUAAUGGGCUACUUGACGGCUAAAUUUAAUUUUAAUCCUUCGUUCUCUUCCACAGAACAGGGGCACUGGAUGACCUGUCUGGCUCAGUGGUAAAUGGGUCUUCUUUGCAUGAAGCAGGACUUCGUCCACUUUUUUUGCCUCCAAGAUUAAUGUGCAGUCACUGCUUCCUUUGGAAGACUCCCCUUUCAGUUUGAAAAGAGGGAAGUUCUGUCAAGAAAGAAGACCCAUAGGCAACGCUGGAGGUUUGAGGGGACUGCCUCAGACACAGGCAG